CCACUUGUACGGGGGAGUUGUAAAAGAAAGGAUCAUUAAUUUGGUUCUCUCCUUAUAGCUCUCCAAAGAGAGGGUAAGAUGUUACAAGAACGAUCUUUGCCUUAUAACAYAYMCCYCUCUUUUAAAAAUGUUUAUGAACGUCAAACAAUGUAGGCUCGCCUUAAAAACGUGUAGCUGAAAUUAUAAAAUUAUACAACUUUUAACAACGGAUCUCUUGGCUCUCGCAUCGAUGAAGAACGCAGCGAAAUGCGAUAAGUAAUGUGAAUUGCAGAAUUCAGUGAAUCAUCGAAUCUUUGAACGCACCUUGCGCUCCCUGGUAUUCCGGGGAGCAUGCCUGUUUGAGUGUCAUUAAAUUCUCAACCUCGAACCGUUUGUUUACAGACUUUACGAGGCUUGGACUUUGGAGUGUGCCGGUCUCUAACGGGAUCGACUCCUCUUUAAAUGCAUUAGCUGGAACCUCCUGUGGACCAGACUACGGUGUGAUAAUUAUCUACGCUGUUGGUCUUGUG
rnacentral:rRNA from 1 species